CGUUGCAACACGUUGUUCCACGCUAGUGCAGUGACAUUAGCAAGACAGAAGGGGGCAACACGAGCAUGCGGACGCGAAGCUUCACUCAAACCGAGCUGGACGCGGUGUCCCGUUCCUCUUAUUUCCAGCGCAUAUUACCGGAGGGACGCUACUACCGCCAAUGAUGGCAUUAGCCAAUCACAGUGUUUUAUAUACACAGCGUGAGGACCAAGGAAGGGUUUAUGAUGCAGCGUUCCACCUCAGGGAGGGGUAUGAGCCCAAAGUGUCUACGUGAUGACAAGGCUGUGAACCUUACACUGAACAUUAAUAAGGAGGAAAGGGGUAGGCAGGUGCCUGUUCUCUCAUCGUCUAUGUAAGGCUGGCGUGUGGACAAGCCCCUGGAGGCUCCCUACAAGAAGAACGCACGCGUGCAGAUGGUGAACAAGGGGUUCUUCCGAUCCCGAGGGACCUGCAUCCCACUGGAGACAGAAAUAGGAGAGUUGAAUGAAAAAUGCAAACCUUAAUAAAAGAUGCAAAGUGAAA